GACGAACGCUGGCGGCGUGCUUAACACAUGCAAGUCGAACGGAAAGGCCCUGCUUUUGUGGGGUGCUCGAGUGGCGAACGGGUGAGUAACACGUGAGUAACCUGCCCUUGACUUUGGGAUAACUUCAGGAAACUGGGGCUAAUACCGGAUAGGAGCUCCUGCUGCAUGGUGGUGGUUGGAAAGUUUCGGCGGUUGGGGAUGGACUCGCGGCUUAUCAGCUUGUUGGUGGGGUAGUGGCUUACCAAGGCUUUGAAGGGUAGCCGGCCUGCGAGGGUGACCGGCCACCUUGGGACUGAGAUACGGACCAGAAUCCUACGGGAGGCAGCAGUGGGGAAUCUUGCGCAAUGGGCGGAAGUCUGAUGCAGCAACGCCGCGUGCGGGAUGAUGGCCUUCGGGUUGUAAACCGCUUUCGACUGUGCCGAAGAGUGAGUGACGGUAAUGGGUAAAGAAGCACCGGCUAACUACGUG
rnacentral:rRNA from 1 species